UUUGACCAGCAGGGGUCGCCCUGCUCCAGCUUGUUUUCCUGUGAUGACAUUCCUCAGGUCUCUGAUGUGUGAAGGAACCUCAGGAAUGUUCUUCCAUGUAGUUUAAUCUCAGCACAACAGAUUGUGAGUCCUGUUGGGUCCGUGGUUCCGGCCCAGCGGUGGCUGUCUGAGGGGGAGGCAACAGAUGGGCUGAGACCCAGCCGACUCUCGGUCCAGGUGGUUUUAAUGUUGCGGCCGCUUUCCUCUGCGCAGCUGACGACUGUUAUCGGUAAAUAAGGGCUCAAAACCACAUCUCCAUGGUGACAAGGCCACGAGCUGCAAGAUUGGCUGCUACAGAAACGCGUGUUGUUAUAGCAACGGUCACGGAUCACAGCAGUGGCCGUCGUCGAAGAUAUGACAUCCGAAGUCAGUGCUGUCAGUCCCCGUUGUCAUGGUGAUUCUCUGAUGCAAACGGCUUUGACACAAAAAUAAACUAGACAUCACAGAUAAAUAAAAUGAUGCUUACUGUGUUGUACUGGAGAAAAAGAUACACACGGCUACCAAUAAAGAAACCUGAUGGUGCAAGUAUGAUUGCUCCUGUUAGCUGGUGUGCAGUCAAUCCACCUCCAUAUCCAGCAGCUUGUAGAACCUCCUUCAGCAGCAGAACCUUUCACAGGGAGUCCCUCACAUCAUCGUGGACUGAUUCUGGCCCACUCUCCUUUUAAUGCUCAUUCCGUUCAUUGAGGCUUGCAGGAGAUUUCUGCACAGCUCUCUAAAGAUCUGCUGGUGUAUUUGGGAUUAUUGUUCUGUUGAUGACCCAGUUUGGACCAAGCAGUAUAUCUUGAGUAUAUGACAUCAUAUCUGGAAACAGGCCCAAAUCAUCAGCUCUCCACCAUUGUGUUUCAUCGCUGGUGGGAGGUGUUUAGUGUCGUCCAAACAUGGUGCUGUGGAUUAUGGCCAAACAUCUCAACUUUGGUCUCAUCUGUUCAAAGGACAUUGUUCAGGAGGUCUUGUUCCAGUGAGUGUGCAGUCAGGAGAGGCAGGUAAAGCACAGCCUCACCUUUCAACAUGACAAGUAAAAUCCCAGCAAUAAUAAGAGAAAACUAAUUUGUGAAUUGAAGUGUUCUAUAAAUUUGUUCUCAGUAUGAUAACAUUUUUAUGGUCAAAAUGGCUGAAUUUAUGCAGUGCUGUUUCAAAUCCAUGGGGGAAAGGGAAUAGCUGUGCCUCACCAGUGAUGGCGCUGUCACACACUGACUGAUGCAGGCAGGUGGAGCAUGCCAAUUCCUGUCUGUCUUUAUAUCGCCAACAUACAUGCUGGAUUAUACAUGUACAAAACACCCUGACGUUCCACAGUCUGUCGAAAAUAUUUAAUGAAUGUGUGACAUAUUUAACCUUUCGGCCAUAAACGCACAGUGAAAAAGUGCCAGGCGCGCUGAUAGGGUGCAGUGCUGAUCUCCAUAGGUACAGACAGUUAACAGCAGGUCGCUUCAGCUACGCAGAGGUCAGGGGUCACCCUUUUCAACUGGAGUGGUCCAACUGUAAACAGUUUGGAGUCCACAGGUUUGUCUUGGCAUUGAAUGGGCAACACAGGCUGAACAUUAAAACGAGGGAUUGGCCAAAAUGAAAAAAAUUAUCAAGUAUAAAACAUUUGUUAUUCUUGCUAUGGGAUUGUUGAACAUUAUGGAUUAAUUAAAGCAAAAUUAAAGCUAUUAAAAUAAUUAAAUGUUUCAAUUAAGGUCAAAAAUGAAAUGCAAGCCUCUAUUUUGGAUUCAUGUAUUUGUACAUCCGAAUCCACAGGAGUCUUUGCCUCCCCAUCCACGAACCUCACAGCCUGUCACUGUCUUGUUCAGAUUCAGUUUUGCAAUCUAAGUCCUGCUGCCAUAUUGUUUUUAUGCCCAAUGCAUAAUCUGAGAGAAAAAUGAAUAAGUUAUUUUCCUUGAGGCUGCUAGAACAAGAACAAAGUUCGUUCUGGAUUGGACAUUUCAUACUUCAUGAGAACUCAAGUGCAGAACGUCUGGGAAGUCUUUCCUACUGCAGCACACCACCUUUAUAGGUGUCUGACACCACACAAGAAAUAGGAUCUACCCAGAACAUGUGUCAAGAACAAGCAGCACAAACAGAAUGAUGUCUUUUAGAUCUUGCAACUCUGGGAGACAGAAUAAAAUUCUUGGUUCUAGCAGGGUAUCCAUCAACCUUUAGACACAGAAGGUUUUCUCCUUCAGCUCUUCCAAACAGCUAUACUAGUUCAUUAAAACUCCUUUUCCACUGGCUCUAUUAAGGCAGUGUGGCCCCACUCUACUCGGUCUCUCUCUACUCGACACAGAACCAGUUGUGUUUCCAUUGAACCACUGACGGCUGGAGCUACAGCUUGAAGCCCUGCCGUCAGGUCCCUGUGUUGCUAUUAAUACUAGUGUGUGAUAUUGUCUCAUUAAAGUAAUCUGUAUGAAAAAAUAAACAGAAAUAAAUAGAAAAUAAAAAGAUAAAUGAACUAAAUACUAAUAAUGUUUGUAUCGUUCUUUAUGCAAGAAUGUCUUAUAGAUGUUUUUGCCAGAACUUAUAAAAUAAGGCUCAGAGGUUUUUUUUGGGCUUCAUGAGGAAGUUCUUGUCUUAUCCAUGGCAAUUACAAGGACCAGGAUUUUAAAGCCCAGAACCGUGGACUUCUGACCGCAGUGAAGUUAGUUUUAGGUUGGAUCUUUGUGCUCCAUGGAUUCAGCAGGUCUGCCUCCCGUUUGACCCAAUGAAGACAGUCUGAUUACAGGCAGCUGCUCUGCCUGCUCUCUCCUUCUGCAGACACUGGUUCUCUGAAGGACCAUCAAUAAAUGUCAGAACCAAACACGCUGCUUCAUGGUGGUUUUGUUUUGUGUGUUUUGGGGGAAGUGUUUGUGUGUCUGAACACCUGAUUUUAUAUGUGAUCAGCUGGUUUAGGAUGUUAUUAACUACAGUGCCCCCUACCUGCGUGUAAUUCAGAAAGCUUUCUUUUCUUUUAGCCUUCAGGCUGGUUUAUGAUUUGUAAAAAGUAGAAUUAUGUUUGGGUUUGACCCGCUCCGACCAUUGUGGUCCUUAAUAUUAUUGUAGUCGCUUGAGAUUUAUUAACUUGUCCCUGCACGAACUCUAGGAAAACCUUCUCAUUUCUCCUGGUCCCAUGGCCAAUCAGUGAACAGCAGACUACUUAUGUCACAGGUAGCCCUGAUUCAGCCCCGAUCGGACCUGCUCAGGAGGUUCAAAAACUAGGUACUGUAUGGAAAAAAACAGUAAUGGAAAUGCUUGCAAAGCGGGUCGAGUGGAGCUGACCUAAAUAGAGCCAGUGGAAAAGGCGCAUAUUUUUCUAACUGUUCUGUCAUGAUCUUUAACCUUUAAGCUCUGAGCAAUGCAGAUUCUGCAAUGGAGCCCUUGUGAUUUUGUAACUUCUGUUAUCUUUGCAUGGUUUGAUCUUGUGGUGAAUUUGAGGGGAUGUUCUCUUCUGGGAAGAUUAGCAGCUGACUUUAAUUCAGGUCUAAAUGAAGCUGCUCAUACCUGCACGAAAUCAAGGCAAACGACUACUAACACUGUUCUGUUGGAACUAGUGGCAGGGGUGGAGCUUUAAUUUUGUUUUUAACAAGAUUAGGAUGAAUUAUCUUUCCUUAUCUAUUGCCUAGACAGGUGUUCACUGGGUACCCAUGCCCUCUAUUUUUAUGUCCUUAGUUAGGGUCCAAAUAGACUCAUGGGUAAGAAAAGAUAUGAUAAAUAUUUCUGAGGUCCUGUAUAGAAUAGGGAUAGGUCUCAGCUCUGAAAAUGAAAUAAAGGAAUUUUUAAUAACAUUUAAAUGUUUCUGUAAAUAAAUAAUAUGGAAAAUCCCUGUU